AGCGGCUGCUAUACAUGCAGUCGAGCGGACAGAAGGGAGCUUGCUCCCGGAUGUUAGCGGCGGACGGGUGAGUAACACGUGGGUAACCUGCCUGUAAGACUGGGAUAACUCCGGGAAACCGGAGCUAAUACCGGAUAGUUCCUUGAACCGCAUGGUUCAAGGAUGAAAGACGGUUUCGGCUGUCACUUACAGAUGGACCCGCGGCGCAUUAGCUAGUUGGUGGGGUAAUGGCUCACCAAGGCGACGAUGCGUAGCCGACCUGAGAGGGUGAUCGGCCACACUGGGACUGAGACACGGCCCAGACUCCUACGGGAGGCAGCAGUAGGGAAUCUUCCGCAAUGGACGAAAGUCUGACGGAGCAACGCCGCGUGAGUGAUGAAGGUUUUCGGAUCGUAAAGCUCUGUUGUUAGGGAAGAACAAGUGCGAGAGUAACUGCUCGCACCUUGACGGUACCUAACCAGAAAGCCACGGCUAACUACGUGCCAGCAGCCGCGGUAAUACGUAGGUGGCAAGCGUUGUCCGGAAUUAUUGGGCGUAAAGGGCUCGCAGGCGGUUUCUUAAGUCUGAUGUGAAAGCCCCCGGCUCAACCGGGGAGGGUCAUUGGAAACUGGGAAACUUGAGUGCAGAAGAGGAGAGUGGAAUUCCACGUGUAGCGGUGAAAUGCGUAGAGAUGUGGAGGACACCAGUGGCGAAGGCGACUCUCUGGUCUGUAACUGACGCUGAGAGCGAAAGCGUGGGGAGCGAACAGGAUUAGAUACCUGGUAGUCCACGCCGUAACGAUGAGGGCUAGUGUUAGGGGUUUCCGCCCCUUAGUGCUGCAGCUACGCAUUAGCACUCCGGCUGGGGGAGUACGUCGCAGACUGACUCACGAUGACGGGGGCCCGCCAGCGGUGGAGCAUGUGUUUAUUCGAGGCCACGCGAAAACCUUUACCA
rnacentral:rRNA from 1 species